rnacentral:rRNA from 1 species
GAUGAACGCUGGCGGCGUGCUUAACACAUGCAAGUCGAACGGAAAGGCCCAAGCUUGCUUGGGUACUCGAGUGGCGAACGGGUGAGUAACACGUGGGUGAUCUGCCCUGCACUUCGGGAUAAGCCUUGGAAACUGGGUCUAAUACCGGGUAGGACCACCUCUUGGAUGUUGUGGUGGAAAGGUUUUCGGUGUGGGAUGAGCUCGCGGCCUAUCAGCUUGUUGGUGGGGUAAUGGCCUACCAAGGCGUCGACGGGUAGCCGGCCUGAGAGGGUGUACGGCCACAUUGGGACUGAGAUACGGCCCAGACUCCUACGGGAGGCAGCAGUGGGGAAUAUUGCACAAUGGGCGCAAGCCUGAUGCAGCGACGCCGCGUGGGGGAUGACGGCCUUCGGGUUGUAAACUCCUUUCGCUAGGGACGAAGCUUAUUUUGUGACGGUACCUGGAGAAGAAGCACCGGCUAACUACGUG